ACUCAGCCUUGAGGGCACUUUCUGGUGCCAGAAUGAAAGUGCUGUCAUAGCUGAGGUC
rnacentral:pre_miRNA from 1 species